rnacentral:rRNA from 1 species
UUAACGGAGAGUUUGAUCCUGGCUCAGGACGAACGCUGGCGGCGUGCCUAAUACAUGCAAGUCGAGCGGACUUGAUGGAGUGCUUGCACUCCUGAUAGUUAGCGGCGGACGGGUGAGUAACACGUAGGUAACCUGCCCAUAAGACUGGGAUAACCCACGGAAACGUGAGCUAAU